rnacentral:misc_RNA from 1 species
UGGCUCUCGCAUCGAUGAAGAACGCAGCGAAAUGCGAUAAGUAAUGUGAAUUGCAGAAUUCAGUGAAUCAUCGAAUCUUUGAACGCACCUUGCGCUCCUUGGUAUUCCGAGGAGCAUGCCUGUUUGAGUGUCUUGAAGUCAUCAACCCCUCCCGUUUUUCGAAGCGGGGGACGGUUGGAGCUGGGGGUUUGCCGCCUCUCGGGGCCGCUCCCCUCAAAUGCUUCGGUUGGGCCUGUGGGUCGAACUCGACUGGGCGUUGUACCAUCCUCGCUCUACCCGAGACGUUCCCCUCGAGCGCCCGGCCUCGACCUGCCGAACGAGCGGCGGUCAAAGGAAACUUCUUCGAUAUCUGACCUCAAAUCAGGUAGGACUACCCGCUGA